rnacentral:misc_RNA from 1 species
UCCGGUUUAUCACCGGCGGUCUCCUUAGAGUCCUCGACUUAACUCGUUAGUAACUAAGGACAAGGGUUGCGCUCGUUACGGGACUUAACCCAACAUCUCACGACACGAGCUGACGACAGCCAUGCAGCACCUGUCUCACGGUUCCCGAAGGCACAAUCGCAUCUCUGCAAUCUUCCGUGGAUUCAAGAGUAGGUAAGGUUCUUCGCGUUGCAUCGAAUUAAACCACAUGCUCCGCUGCUUGUGCGGGCCCCCGUCAAUUCCUUUGGGUUUUAGCCUUGCGGCCGUACUCCCCAGGCGGAGUGUUUCACGCGUUAGCUGGGCCCCUGAUCCACGUAGACCAAGGGCGAACACUCAUCGUUUACAGCAUGGACUAC